GGAGUGGUGUCCGAGCGGAUUAAGGAGCACGCCUGGAAAGUGUGUAAGGUCAAAAGCCUUCCCGGGUUCGAAUCCCGGCCACUCCGCCA
rnacentral:tRNA from 1 species